GGCCGGGUAGCUCAGUAGGUAAGAUAAGAGCACUCGCCCUGUAAGCGAGGGGUCCCGGGUUCGAUUCCUGGUCUGGUCG
rnacentral:tRNA from 1 species